AAGAUAAGUCAGAGAAGAGGGCAGCAGGCACUUUUGGGAAAUAAUUCCACGUCUUCACAUCCACCUCUGAUUGUGAAAUGAGUAUUGUUUAAUCAUUAUAAGAUGCCUACUUAAAUCAAUAAUAUCUUCCUCACUUCCAUAUACACGAGAUUCAAAAACUAAAAAAUAGAACAAGCCAUGCGCAUGAGAUUCAUUUAGUUUUAUUGAGAGAGUUGUGCCUGCCAUGCACACACACACCGGAUUAAAGAAAUAAUGAAAGAUGACUUAUGAGAGAGUUGUGCCUGCCAUGCACACACACCGGAUUAAAGAAAUAAUGAAAGAUGAAAUAAGUCAUAGAAGGCUCAUGGGGCUGCUCAAAGCCUCAGAGAGAGAGAGAGAGAGAGAGAGAGAGAGAGAGAGAGAGAGAGAGAGAGAGAGAGAGAGAGAGAGAGAGAGAGAGAGAGAGAGAGAGAGAGAGAGAGAGAGUUAGUUUUUCUUUUUUUUUCUAACUUUGAAGCUAGUCAUUCAAGACUCAUGGAGUUGAUUGAACAUUAUGAUAGAACCAAACAGUCCCUAUUGUUUGCCAAAAACAAUUUUGUGAAAAAGCGAUCCUUUAUAAUAUGUUUGCUUCCAUAAAGUUUGAAAAAAAAAUGUAAAAAAUAAAUAAAUAAAUAAAAAUAGAAAAAAAAUUUAAAAUUAAUAAAUUAUUUUUACAUAUUACAUGAAAUUCAUUUUAAAUAUUUAAUUCUUUGAUAUAAAGAUUAAAUAAUUUAAAAAUAAAUAAUUUUCUUAAUCAUUUUAAUUAUAUUUGACUUUUUUCAUAUUUUUUAUGAUAUAAUAAAAAAUUGAGAAAAUCAUUUUUGUUAACAUUUUUUUUCUUAGUAUUUUUUAGGAACUAAAUAUAGAUUUAUAUUAAAAGUAAUCCUUUAUAUUAAAGUCAUACUUGGUUCUAGAAAAUGGUCCAAAAAAAUAUGUUAAAAAAAAUAAUUUUCUCCUAUUUGAUUUUACUAUUAAGAAUAUGAAAGAAAAUCAAAUAUAAUUAAAAAUAAAUAAAAAAAUUAUACAUUUCAAGUUAUUUUAUUUUUAUAUAAAAGAGUUAAAUAAGUAAAAUGAGUUUAAAAUAUAAUAUAAAAACAAUUUAUUAACUUUUCACAUCUAAUUAUCUUAUCCUUCGUUUGUAAUACUAGAAGUAUCAAGGAAAUGAAAAAAAAAAAAAGCAGCUAAAUGAGAAUUUAAAAUCAUAUGUUUGAUUGAGAGUGAAAUUUGAAAUACUAAAUUACAUAUAUUUUUAUUAAUGAAGAAGAAUGAGAAAUAAUAUUUUUUUAAAAAGUAUCUAAAUUUUUUCUUACUUUUUUUACAUGUCACAAACAUGGUUGUCUUAGGUUCUAAUCUUUCCUAAUUCAUCAAAGACUAAAUUCCCAUGGUCAAUGACACAAGUACUGUAGGCAUGGCAAUGAGAACUCUGCUAAUGAGAAGCUAACACCAAAAGAUUUAGGUCUUCUCUUAUGACCAUGACAUUGAUCUCAAUGAUCAUUUCCAUGAAGACAGAAACAAAGUGCAUCAACUUCCUAACAAACUUCAGGUCUAUUUGCCUACCUUUAAAAGGUGGUCCACUAGGUCAAUGCAAAAUAGACCAGCUUUUAUUACAGAGACUCCCAAUCAAUGAAUGCAGGCCGCUAAACCAAAAUAUGAAACAAUGAGAUGUUUUGAGGUUAUUGAGAACAUGAACCAAAACAAAGAAAACCUUUUUGUUUUAGUGAAAAAUAAGACAUUGAAAGGAUAUGCAGUCAUAAAUCUUGCAAUUUUGUACAUUGCAAGAGUUAAAUCUCUACUUUUAUUACACUCGAAAGGGAAUAGCAGCAAGAAAAGACCAAAGCAAUUAAAAUUUUUUAUUGCCAAAGCUCAAUACAUCCCUGCUUUCCUCCAUGCUUGUAUAAGAGAACAUAGACCAAGAAAGUGAGAAAAACCUAAGCCUCCAUGGUUUUCCAUGGUUAUCAAGUGGUUCACUUGGUUUAAGCGUACUACCAAAUAAAAACAGAGCAUGAAAAUGCGAGUACCAUUAGAAAAUGGCAACUAUUUGCAUCCAAAAUGUGAGCACUUGGGUUCAAUCCUCCUCUACUCCUCUUCAAUAUUUGUUUUAGACUUGAAGCUUCACGAAAAAAGAAAAUCCCUAGCACACCUGCCACCAUUAAAAAAAUCAGCAUCAGUAAGCAAACAUAAAAUUCCUUGCACCUAACAUUGACAUGGACUCAAAUUAUCUAGAACUAACCUAAAUUCAUGGAGAUGAAUAGCCAACCAAGCCAAGCAUGUGCCUGUGUGAUGUCUAGUCAGUCAUCUGGAGAAGCUUGGAGCACGCCCAUGAUUAGAUCUGUCACAUAUGAGCUGUAUUUUGGUAAUUCUGGAAUGCGGUAUUUUCUAUUUAAGAUAAUAGAUGGUGAGAAACAUAUAGUCAGAUAAAUAAUAAAACACACACUCUAGUAUUCUACUCAUUGAUUCACCCAUUCACUAAUCAUUAAAAAGUCUAGAAAUAUAGAAGCUUAAAUUUUCUAAUUUAUGGAGAUAGCAAAUAAGCUCAUAAUCAUCAUUUCUAUACAAAAUCAGGAAGUUCAAUGAGGGAGUUGCACUCAACCACCUUAAGAUAAUAAGGACAUCAGAAUAAAAAACAAAGCUACAAAAAGUCUUAAAGCCAAGAUCAAUUUAAUUAUAGUAUUCUUCUUGGGAGUUACAUGGUAUAAACCUUCGUUAAGACAUGGACUCUAAUUUUCUUUUCAAAGAAACAGUUGACUCCUGAUCGGAUAAUGCCCAUGGCCACUAACAGGAGUGUAGGCAUGAUGGCAACAACAAUUUUGCUAAUGAGAAGCAGCACAAGAAGACCGUCACCUUCAGAAUCCAUGUCAUUGAUCCCAAUGAUCAACUCAGCAACAGUUAAAAAAAAAAAAAAGUAUACAAAAAUUCAGUCACAGUCAAGAUCUAAGAAAUUCCCAAAAAAGAACAUAACCACAUCAAAAUUAGGACAAAACAAGUACAACAACUACCUAAUAAGAAAAAAAUUGACCAAAAUACUUCAUGUAAACAAAUAAAAAAAGUUGACCAAUUCAGUACCAUAAAAUACUUCAUAUAAAAUUUUUGCUUUUAAUUGCAGUUUGAUAAAUGAUCCUGGAUCUAAAUGUACAUUGGCAUAAAAUUAAUUAUAGUUUCUUUACCUCACAUGUUUUUAUAUUGCAUAAUGGAACUUUGUUCCUCAUCAUAAGAGGUCUUCUAUGCUCAUCCUAGUUGCUUGAUAUGGAACGCAUGGAGAAGAAAAGAAAAAACAAAAAGUAUUGAGUAAUUUAGUUUGAUAAAAAUUUAAAAAAAAAAUGGAAAUUUAUUCAGAGAAGUAGCAUCAAUUGCCCAUGGAAUAAGUGCCUACAGAUGUCUCCCAAAGAAUCUUAAUUCAUUCGUAAAACUACAAUAUUGACUACAAACUAACCAAAAAGAUAAAAAAAUUUAAAUUCAUGCAAAUUUAUAAUAAAAAAAAAGGAAGAGAAAUUCAUUCUCAUAUACAAAUUCUAAAAGGAAGAGUGACAAGAAAAGAUUAACUAAUAAAAACUCCAAAGGGGUGUGGUGGUAUAGAAACUUCAACCUUCCUCAUUGCUGGCCUUAUUACAACCCCAAAGGUGAUUAAAGAGCCAUUGCUCAUGUGAUUAAAAUAUGAUAACUAGCUUUGUUAAAAUGUGAAUUACCGAGAACCAAUCUUCCUUUACUCGUCUUUUCUCCAUUGGAAAAUUCUUAAAUCAAAUAAACAGAGCAUGCUGCACAACCAAAUACCCAACAACAAGACUAGGAAAUGAAUUAUGUAGACAUGCAAUUCUAGGGAUUGUCAGAAAUUCUGAAACAUGAGUACUUGACAGCUACUUUAUGAAUUGGAACAUAAGUUUUCUGAAUAAAAUAAGUAUAAGCAUAGAAUUAAUUACUUGACUGUAUAUUGGUGCGGUACCACUUUCAUUAAAAUAUCACACCAUUGAUCACAAUUUUUGGAGUUGAGAGUGAGCAAUUGCAUAUAUACGAGAUCAGGGUACCCUCUGAUUUGCAAGUAACGUCAAUAGCCUGUCUGAUAUGAAGUUCAUAAUUAUAUGAACUCUACUGCAUUCUUCUCUGCUUCCCCUUCAUCAGCUUGGCAACUAAGCAUUUGAAAAAAUUUGGUCUUUAAAAUCUAGAUCCAAGAAAGAAUAACUAUACAGGCACACACACCUGGACAGCCUCCCCUCUUCAUCAAACAAUUCAAUAGCUGUUAAAUCCACUAAUCCCACAUCCAUGGCCGCUGGUGCCUAUGCUGCACAUGUCAUCAGGAAUUGCCUGCACAACAGACCAAGAAGAAGCAUUUGAGUGCUUAUAUGAUCUAGCAGCUCCAUCAGAAUCAAGUGUUGCCCUGUAGUAAUAGUCACUCCUUAAGUCUCUCCCCAUGUGCAGGUAAGUAUCUGGGUCUGAUUGUAACUCAACCCAAACAAGCAUGGGCAUCCAUACUUGAUACCUUUCAGGUUGGUCAAAUUGAAAUGAGUUACAUAUAAUGCUCAUCUCCAGUAUCGUUUUUGAAGCUAGUUCGGCUAGACUAAUAGACAAAUAAGCCCUCAAAAUAAACUUUCCCAGGUUGAGAACAGACCUUAUAUUGAGAUAGUCCACGACCAACCCUGCUCUUAAUAUAUAAGAAAUGGUGAAAAAUAUGUAGUCAGAGAAAUAAUAAAAUACAUAACCUAAUAUCCUAUUGAUUGAUUCACCCAGUUUUUAACCAUUAGAAAGUCUGGAAAUAUAGAAGAGUAACUUUUCGAAUUCAUGAGGAUGGUGAAUAAGCUUAGAAUCAUCAUUUCUACACAAAGUCAGUUGGUUCAAUGAGGGAAUUACACUCUUAACUACUUUAAGAUAAUAUAACAACAUCAAAAAUAGAAAAUUGAACUACAAAUAUUUUUGGAAUGCGAGAUAUAAAAGGCCAUUCUUUCCUUUUCUCAAAUUGGCACUGUUGUUCCAGUGAAGGACACUUGAAGACAGACAGAUAAAAGAGGGAGUUUGGCAGUCUCUCUUUUGUCAAGUAUUGGAGCUUAGGGCACUUGUAGAGAUCUAAGGUUUCAAGAGUGGUGAGGUGGUGAAGACCUGCUUCUGUCAAGGAUUGGAGCCUUGGGCACGAGUAGAUUUGUAAUUCUUUGAGAGAGAUAAGGUGUUGAAUAACAGAUCUUGUCAAGGAUUGGAGACUUGGGCAGUCCUGUAUUCGUAAUUUUUUGAGAGAGACAAGGUGUUGAAGCCCCUUGUUGUCAAGAGACUUGAGAUUUGGAAGACCAUAGAUAUAAAGAUAAGUCAGAGGAGGGCAGCAGACACUCCUUGGGAAAUAAUUCCACGUCUUCACAUCUACCAAAGAUUGUGAAAUGAGUAAGAGAGCUCAGUCUUUGCAAAUCCCAGUCCACCUGGGACGUGAGUUGGUUGCAGCGACAGAUUUGAAGUUCACGUAGGUUGGAAGGCAAGCCCUCUUUGUGAAACAACAAUUCUCGACAAUCCCCUAAACUCAGCUUCUGCAGAGAUGAAUGGGUAUGCGCCAACAAUCUGAGCUUGGAACAAUUGUGAAUCAAAUGGGACAUCGAGUGAGAGCGGCAGUUGGAUGUAUACAAGAUCCGAGCACCCAUCGAUUUCCAAUUUAUGAAGAGAUGUGGGAUCCCCCUCUGAAAUCGAAAUGCAGAGCUUCUCAAGCCCCUUGAGACCAUUGAUUGCGAAAUUAGUCAACCUGGGGGAGAUGUCCAAUAUGGAGAAGGAUAACGGGAGAGAAUUAUCAUAGGUACCACCAUUGAUCUAUAGAUUUUCAAGGACAGGGUGAUGACAUCUGAACAACUCAGGUAGAAGAAGGUCCAAUUUGGUACAGUUAGAGAUUGAUAGGGAUUUCAAUGUAGUGGGUAAGCCAACUUUGCUCGGGGAUCUGGAAAAAGAGCAGUCUUAAAUUUCCAAACUGUACAUGUUGGUUUGUAGGAAUUCGUCCUCUAGUAGAGACUCCACAGAAUCACAAUUUUUAAUGAAGAGAUUAUGGGGUAUCAUUGCAAGUUGCUUCAACUGAGAGACAUCUGAAAUUUCAAUUUCUGAAGUUUGAAGAGCUGUGAAGCCACAAGUUUCCCUUUUCAAGAGCAAUCUACGGACAACAGGAACAUUGAGUGAGGCACAAGCAGCUGCGGACGAUUUUCAACUUAAAGUUCCUUCAUUGAAGGAAGGUGUAUUGGUAAUUCCCCAGUGAGUUGGUGACACAUCACUAUAGAAAGCUCCUGGAGACGAGGGAAUUCUCCAUGUCUGCCUCCACGACAAAACCAUUUCUCCCAACUGGACAUAUGAUAAAAUGAAGAAUUUGUAGGGAUGGAAAGGAGGGCUGAGGCGAGGAAGAAGAACUCCCAUAAAACUCACCACCGUCAUAGUUCAAAUUUAAUUAUGAAAUUUAUUACCCUAAUUAAUUUUAUAUUAAAAAAAAUAUGAAUGAAAAGCAUCAAAUUAUGAAAAUUAUUGUUUUCUAUAUUUUAAUAAUGAUAUUACUUUCUACAUAUUGAAAAUUUUUAUGGUUAGAUGAUUUUCUUCAAGUGGGAUGCCAUAAAAAAUCAUUAAGAAUACAAAUAUGAUGAAUGAUUCAAGUGAGCAUAAAUUUUUCUUUGUGGUAUGGAGUGUUGAAAUUUGGGCUCCAAACCCAUUGUCACCAUGCACCAGUAAUUAAAUAAAUUUAGAAAAAGAAAGACAAAAGAAUUGUCCUUGAGUAGAUUUAAAGUUUAAUUAUAUAAGAAAUCUUUUCUUUUAUAUAUAUAAUAUAAAAACUCUCCAAAACUUGUAUUGAAAAUGUAAUAAAUUUUAAAAAUUAAAUAAAAAUUGAGGUAUUUAAAAAACUUUUGUAUGCAUUUGGUAAAACUUAAUAUUUAUUAUUUACUAACUUAAAUUAAUUUUAAUUUAAAUUAUUUUUAAAUUGUUAAUUUAAAACUUAUUCUUUUUUAUUUUAAGUGUUAAGGUUGUUUAGUAAAAUUAAUUUUAAAUUAUCAAAUUGACAAAUUUAUCUUUAUUAGUUGUAAUGAAUAUUUAUCAUUAUUAACUGUAAGUUAUAUUAAUUUUUACUAGUCUUAAGCAAUAUAUUUGUUUAUUAAAUAUAUAAUCUUAAAAUAUUGUAAAUUUGUAAGAUACACUUAAAAUAAUUAUGAUAAAAAAAUGAGUCAUCGAUGUAAAGCCAUGGUUGUUAAUAUUAUUUUAUAAUAUAUUCUAUAAAUAUUUUCUUUAAUUAUUUUUUUAUUUUAAAUUUAAUUUAUAAAAAGUUUUUAUUUUCUAAAAUAACUAAUAUAAAAAAAUUAAAAUUAAUAAAAUAAAUAAAUUUAUUAUAUAUGAGAUGUGUAUAUUCUACUAUUAAUAUACAUUAUGCCCUCCUUUAUUUGAACUCAUGUUAGGUGAAAAGAAUGUAUUUUCAUACAAAUGAUAAAAAGGUAAUGAUUCGAGAUGAACAUAAAGAAAUUCCAAAUUAAAGCCCUACACGGAAACUUCAACUACACCCUCCAGCAUCUGUGUAACCUUCCUCAUGGUUGGCCUUAGAGCUGAAUCCUCCUGAAUGCACCAAAUGGACACCAUCACUAGCCUCUCCAGCCUCUUCAUAUCAUUCAUAAUUUGCAUCCUCAUCAUCUUCCACCAACUUCUCCAACUUCCUUUGCACAAACAGUUCAUAAUCUCAAUCCAUUAGAGCUUCCUCUUCGUCUUCCAUAUGAAAGAGGAAAUCUUCUUCUAACACAUUGCCUCUAUAAAUGACUACUUUGAAGAAGCAAUCCUCUUCACAUGACUCUUUACACUUCUCCUAAUCAACCGAUCUGUGUUGUUUAAUUCUUUCAACUCCACUUCAUCCUUUGCUCUCUUCGCUUCAUCUUCAUCUGCUUGGCAACUCCACUUCAUUCUCAAGAACAAAGUUACCAUUGUCGAGCAUAGCAGCAUGAGUAACCCCUUUAACAGCCGACUGAGUUCUCCGAAGCUCAUAUCCUCCUUUGUCAGCGAGUUUGAACUCCCCAUUUUUGGUGAGUUCAAUCUUUGUACCCUUCUGCCACUUCUUUAUCUGCAUACCAAAUUAUUGUUUGGUAAUUCAUGUUCACUAAUUACAUAUAGAACAUAAUUAACCCCUCUAAAAAAAUAAUUAAUAUGAUCAAUCAUCUUCUAAGAUGGCAUGUUACAUAAAAGGUAACAAGAUUAUGCUACUUUUUUAAAAUUUUCCUUAGGUUGUCAAUGUCAUAAUGUGGGUACAAACUGAUGGUAUAGGAACAAGUACAUUGAUAAAAAUUAAAAGAGAAAAAUUGGAAAUUUAUUCAGAGAAGUAGCAUCAAUUGUCUAGGGAAUAAGUGUCUGCAGAUGUUACUCCUUAGUCCCCAGUAUGCUUGAAACAAAUUGGAGACUGAUCAGUUUCUUACAGUAUCAGAAGACAGCAGCCCAGCUAUAGCUAAACACACAAAGAGUUUGAAGAACACUGAGCUUCCAAGUAGUAGUGACCCAACAAGAAUCAAGGUAGGCUUAUCCUGGCCUAUCUGUAAGCCUUUGCUCUGUCUUCCACAGGAGAGAAGGAAUCUCUUUGGCCAACACAUUGUCUGUAUAAAUGGCUACUGCACAGAAGCAAUCCUCUUUACAAGACUCUUUAAAAUUUCUCCUUGUCAACGGUCUGUUCAAUCCAAAGUUCAUAAUUGCAGAUUUGCCAGUCUGUGUUGUUUAAUUCUAUGAACUCUACUGCAUUAUUCUCUGCUUCCCCUUCAUCUGCUUGGUAACUGGGCAUUGGAAAAUUUGGUCUUUAAAAUCUGGAGCCAAGAAAGAAUGCCUACACAGGCACUCACAUCUGAACAGCCCCCUCUACUCAUCAAACAAUACAAUAGCUGUUGAAUCCACAAAUCCCGCGACCACGGCCCCUUGCAGCUGCACUGCAAUUGUCAUCAGUAAUUGCCUGCAGAAUAGACCAAGAAGUAUUAAUGCAGUUCCAAUGGUUUGCAGUGUUCUGUUUUCAGUGCUUAUAUAAUCAAAAUCAAGUGUUGUCCUGUAGUAAUAUCACUCCCAAAGUCUCUAUCUUCUGAUAAGAGGUUAACUUAUGUGGCAAGAUGGUAUCAGUGGGAUUCUUGAAGCAUGUCCAGGCACAAAUAACUAAAGCCAUAUUUUCAAAAAAAAUUGGUUACCAACCAAGAAAAACCUGGUAGAAUUAGCAUAGAAUAUGUAAAAACUGGAAAAUCGCCAUGUUAAUUUGAGCAGGUCAUUCAAGUACAUGUGAUUUUGGCCUCUUAAAUAUUCAAUCACAGGUACAUUCUAUAUGAUUUUAAGCUACUAGAGAAGUAUGAAAAAGAAAAUUAUGAGAAUGUCAACCAGUGUGGAAACUAAUUUCCUCAAGUAACUUCUCUCAAUAUCCUUUUCCUUUGUGACAAUGUUAAAGACCUAUAGUUACAAGUUACAACUUAAUUUUCAUCUCCAGACUUACCAUGUGAACAUACUUAAGUCUGAUUGUAACUCGACCCAACCAAGCAAGGGCCAUCCAUAGUUGAUACCAUUGACGUUGGUUGAUGGAAUUGAGUCACAGGCUAGUCCAGCUUGACUAAUAGUCAAAUAUGCUCUCAAAACAAACUUUCCUCAGAUUGAGAACAAACCCUGUAUCAUAAAAAGUUCAUAAAAAUAAAUCCGGAGAACAUUUAAUAUAGUCAACAACCAACUCUUCUUCUUCAUAAGAGGUGGUGAAUUAGCUCAUAAUGUAGAAUAGUGAAUUUUCUAAAACAUGAAGAUGGGAAUAAGCUCAAAAUCGUCAUUUCUAUACAAAAUCAGAAAGUUCAAUGAGAGAAUUGCACUCAACUACUUUAAGAUAAUACCAACAUCAAAAUAAAAAACAGAACCGCAAAAGUCUUAUAGUCAACACAAUUUAAUUACAAUAUUCCUCGUGGGAAUUUUGCGGUAUAGACGUUCAUUUAGACUUGAACUUUUUAAUUUUCUUUAAGAAUAAACAAUUGGCUCCUGCUCAAAUGAAAAAUGAGAACCAAUGCUCAUAGUCAGAGACAAAAGUGUAGGCAUGACAAUGCCAAUUUUGCAAAUGAUCAUUUGGUCAUAGUCAAGACCUAAGAAAAGCCAAAACAAGAACAAUAGAACAUCAAAAUUGGGACAGAAACAUAUGUAGCAACUACAUAACAAAGAUUUGUGUCAAUCUGCUCACCUUUUGAAGGUGGUCCAUCGGGUUAGUGCAAAAUAGACUGGCUUUUUUUUUACAGGGGCCCUUAAUCAGUGCUGGCUGCUGAACCAAAAGAAAGUUCAGAUAACUAAAAAAUUCUAUAAAUUCAAUACCAUAAAAUACCUCACAUAAAAAUGUUGCUUUUGCAACUGUAGUUUUCCAAAUGUUCCCAAAUUUAAAAUUACAUUGGCAUAAAGUUAUUGAUGUUUACCUCUUUUUUUUUUUCAUGGUCAUAUCAAACAUUGUUCUCAUAGUAAGUCUUCUAUGCUGAUCCUUGUUGCUUAAUAUGAGACACACAAAAGAAAAAGCAGUGAUCCAUUUAUUUUGAUAUCGAAGGGAGCAAAGUCACAACAUGUAUAUUACUUAUGUAGCCAACUAAGUUCAUAUUAUGAUGUGGGUAAGAUUCAAUACAUAUUUCAAUAACCAUGAAUUACCAAAAAAUGUAUCCACAUGUUCUUACAGGGGAUUAACACACAAGUAGCUAAGAGUCAUCUCUACCCAUUCUAAAAGGUAAAUUGAUGGUGUCAUGAAAAUAUGAUAACUGGCUUCAUUAAAAUGUGAAUUACCAUGGAUCAAUCUUUCUUUACUCUUCUUUACUUCAUUAGAAAAUUCUUUUUUAAAAAAAAGACAGGAUAGAGCAUGCUGCAUAACCAAAUUCCCAAUAAGAAGACUAGAAAAUGAGUUAUGCAGACAUGCAAGUGCAGAGAUUGUUAGAAGUUUUGAAACAUGAGUACUUGGCCAGCUACUUUAUGAAUUGGAACAUAACUUUUUUAAAGAAAAUAAGUUUAAGCAUAGAACAAAUUACCUGACAGUAUAUUGAUGGAGUACCACUUUCAUUAAAAUGACAGACCAUUGAUCACUGUUUUUGGUGUUGAGAGAGGGCAAUUUCAUAAAUACAAGAUCAUGGGAUUAUGUUCCCUCUGGAACUCGAUUUUGCUUGUCAAUAGCCUGUGUACCACAUUCUUCUCUGCUCUCCCUUCAUCUGCUUGGCAAUCGGGCAAUUGAAAAAAUUUGGUCUUUAAAAUCUAUAUCCAAGAAUGAAUACCUAUGCAUGCAACAAUCUAGACAAACCCCCUUCUUCAUCAAGCAAUACAAUGGUUGUUAAAUCCACAAAUCCCACUACCAUGGCUACUGGUGUCUAUGCUGCAAAUGUCAUCAAAAAGUAUAGAUUUACCUUGUGUCUUUAAAAAUCACUUUUUGAGAAAUUUUAAAAUUUGAGGGAAUAAGAGCAUGUUUGGUGAAAAUUUUAAAAACUGUUUGGUUAUUGUUCUCUAUUUCCUAUUUUUUAAAAACAAAGUGAAAGAGAAAAUAACUUUUAAAGAACAAAUAACAUUUACUUUCAUCCAUUUUUAAAAACAAUAGAAGAACAUAUACACUAUUAUUUCUCUUCUACAUAGAAUUAUUAUUUUUCAAUUUUUUUCACUAGGCAAAUUAACUCCAAAUUAAACAAGACUUUAUAUGUUGGAUUUGUUAACAAGUCUAUUAAAUUUUAAAAAUAAUUUGAAACUUAAAUAAUAAACUCAUUAUUCUAACAUAUAAUAAAAUAGUAUAAUUUCUACUAAAAAUAUAAUUUAUGAUUUUAUUAUAAUAUUACUAUUUAUGUUUUACUAAAAACUAUAUAUUUUAUAAUUUAUCAAUAAUUACAAAAUUAUUUUCAUUUUCAAUAAAAAAUUUAUCCGAACAAGUUUUUUUUUUAAAUCCUUUUAUAAUAAUUACUUACCAAAUAUUCUUAAUUUUAUAAAACAUUAAAAAAACAAAAAAAAAUUAAUUAAAGUACUUAAUUGACUUGUAUUAAAAAUAAAUAUUAAAAUUAUUUUUAUAUUAUAGAAAUUUUUUUUUCACUAUAAUAAAAAAAUUGUUUCAUAAUUAAAAACAAAAUUAUUUUUCUUUAACUAAUAUAUAAUUAUGUAUUUAAUUUUUAUUUUUUAUUAAGACUUAACUUGAAUUUGAUUUUAUAUUAUUAUAAAUUAAUUUUAUAAAAUAAAAGUAAAACAUUGUUUUUAAAAAUAAUACAAAUUCUUUAACCUAAACAGCAUUAUUGUUUUUUGUUUUAAAAAACUUUUUUUUUAAAAAAAAUUAUUAAUUUUUCAAUGUAAGGCUUUAAGAGUUAAAAUACAAAAGUUACUGUCACUUAAUUUUAGGGCUAAGGAGGUCAAAACCUUAACAAUGUAGGAGAUUUAACGGAGGCAAGGAAUUAAACAGAUAUAUUCUUGAGAUUAGAAAUUUGGGUGGAACAUCAAUUUUGUAAAGAAAUUAAGUUUAAGCACACAACAAUUACCUGCCCAUGUGUUGGUGCACUGCCGCUUUCAUUAAAAUAGCACAUCAUCGAUCUCUAUUCUUGGAAUGUGAGAUAUAUAACGCCAUUCUUGCCCAUUCUCAAAUUGGAGUCGUUGUUCCAGUGAAGGACACCAUCUGACAUACAGAGAAGAGAGGGAGUCUGGCAGUCUCUCUUUUGUCAAGUAUUGAAGCUUAGGGCAGUCGAAAAUUCUUAACGUUUCAAGAGUGGUGAGGUGGUGAAGACCCGCUUCUGUCAAGGAUUGGAGCCUUCCGCACGAGUCGAUUCCUAAUUUCUUGAGAGAGAGAAGGCAUUGAAGAACAGAUCCUGUCGAGAAUUGGAGCUCAGGGCAGUACUGGAUCCAUAAUUCUCGAAGAGAGGUGAGUUGUUGAAGCCCCUUGUUGUCAAGAGACUUGAGAUUUGGAAGACUAUAGAUUGAAAGAUAAGUUAGAGAAGAGGGCAGCAGACACUCCUUGGGAAAUAAUUCCACGCCUUCACAUCCACCUUCGAUUGUGAAAUGAGUAAGAGAGGUCAGUCUUUGCAAAUCCCAGUCCACCUGUGACGUGAGUUGGUUGCAGCCCCAUAUUUCAAGUUCCCGUAGGUUGGAAGGCAAACCCUCUCUGUGCAACAACAAUUUUGGACAAGUCAUUAAACUUAGGUUCUGCAGAGAUGAAUGGGUGUGCGCCAGCAAUCUGAGCUUGGAGCAGUUGUAUAUCUGAUGGCACAUCGAGUCGAGAGCGGGCAGUUGGAUGUAUACAAGAUUAAGGCACCCUUCGAUUCUCAAUCUACGAAGAGAUGUGGGAUGCCCCUCUGAAAUCGAGAUGCAGAGCUCCUCAAUCCCCUUAAGAUCUUUUAUUUUGAAAUCAGUCAACCUGGGGAAGAUGUCCAAUAUUGAGAAGGACAACGAGAGAGAAUCACAGGUACCGCCAUUGAUUGAUAGAUUUUCGAGAACCGGGUGAUGGCAUCUGAACAACUCAGGUAGAAGAAGGUCCAAUUUGGUACAAUCAGAGAUUGAUAGCAAUUUCAAUGUAGUGGGUAAGCCAACUUUGUUUGGGGAUCUGUAAAAAGAGCAAUCACAAAUUUCCAAACUGUACAUGUUGAUUUGCAGGAUUUCCUCCUCUAGUAGAGACUCCACAGAAUCACAUUUUCUAAUGUAGAGAUAGUGGGGUACCACUGGAAGUUGCUUCAACUGAGAGACGUCUGAAAUUUCAAUUUCUGAAGUUUGACUAGCUGUGAACCCACAAGUUUGCCUUUUCAACUGCAGUUCACGGGCAGCAGGAACGUUGAGUGUAGGCACAAGCAGUUGUGGACAAUCUUCAAGGUUAAGUUCCUGCAAUGAAGAAAGGUGCAUUGGUAAUUCCCCAGUGAGUUUUGGACAUAGCCUUAUAGAAAGCUCCUGGAGACAAGGGAAUUCUCCACAUACGCCUCCACAACAUAACCAUUUCUCCCAGUUGUACAUCUUUUUAAAUGAUAGAGUUUGCAGGGAUGGGAAGGAGGGAUGAUGCGAGGAAGAAGAAUUCCCAUAAAACUCACUACCCACUCCCACUACUCCUUUCAUGUCUGAGAUCUCUAGACGUUUAAGACAAGCUAGUUGCCCCAGUGGCGGCAAUGUUGAGCAAUUCCCACAAUUCGAAAGCUGAAGGGACACGAGAUUUGAAAAUGAUUCAUCUCCAAGCCAAUCUGGAAAUGUUAGACCAGGAUACCCUCCAAUGGACAACUUUUUUAAAUUUGGAUGAGGUGUUAGCCUGUUAAGAAUAUCAUCUGUUGCUCCACUUUGUCUAACAUAAUCCCCAAUCCGGUAGUGACUCCAAUUCAAGGAUAACUCAUCAAGGUAUUUCUUAUCCUUCAUAUUCGCCUGCAAUGCAUCCUCAACACCCACCACAUUCUCCAUUUUUGAAAUUUCAAGUCUUCCUCUAAUCUCUGAAAGCUUCCACAAUUCUCCAAAUCUGAAUCCACUUUCUUGGCCCACAAUAAAAUGAGGCAGCCGUUGUAAACUUUUUAAUUGCUCUAUAUCAUUUGGCAUUUCUUUCAAUGAUUUAGUCCCACUAAUAUCAAGAUAGCGCAAAUUAAUCAACUUCCCCAUUUUUGAAGGCAAUUCAAGAAGAUCAUAACAUUGACUCAACAUCAUCGUUUGCAAAUUGCAUAAACAACAUAUUGAUUCAGGUAAUCUUUUAAUCAUUGUUGUAGAGAAAUCCAAGUAACGCAACUGUUUUAAAUUGUGUAUUGAAUCAGGCACAUCUGUUAUGCAGUAUUCACACAAUGACAAUACGCGCAAGGAUUUAAAUUUUGGUAAUAUAUUUUGUAAAACUCUUGUACUUAAUAAAUAAAAAGGAUGGUGCCAUAAUCUCUCCACCUGUAAGAUUGUUCUGAGAUGUUUGGCUUCACCAACAGGCUCAAAAGUUUUAAAUACAACUGCCCCAUCAUCGUCACUUUUAAAGUGGAGAAAAUGGCGAGCCUUAUCAGAUAUUUUUUGCAGCUUACAAUCUUCCAAUCGAAUGCAAAAUUCUUGGGAGAUAUGUUGAGCCAAGUCAUGUAUUAGAUCAUGCAUUACAAAGCAUGAUUUUUCUCCUCUAAUACAUUUUUGAAAGAAUGACUUUGCUAAAAGUUCAUUAAAAUAUGAAUCACCUACCUCUUCCAUUCUUCUGUUACUUUGUCCCGAGUGUAAAAGCCCUUCUGCCAUCCAUAAUAGAAUCAGCUUCUCUUUGUGGAAUUCAUAGUCCUUGGGAAAAAUGGAACAGUAAGCAAAACAACGCUUCACAGGUAGGGAAAGAUGCUGAUAACUCAAUCUAAGAGAUGGAAGAAUUUCAUGAUCAGUCUGAGAAUGCCAUGUUUUGCUAUUCAAAAUAUCUUCCCAUUCUCUUCUUUCGGGCUUAGAGUACAAGAGACUCCCGAGUGCUUUCACAGCCAAAGGCAAUCCUUGGCACUUCUUCACAAUCUCUCUGCCUAUGGGUUCAAGCUGAGGAUAAGCGCAGGGGUCUCCAUUUGGAAAUGCAAGUUUUGUAAAUAGGGACCAACUAUCUUCAGGGCUUAAUGUUCCCAGCUGAUGAGUAUGGAUUGCACGCAUGACUUUUGCAACAGUUUCGCUACGACUGGUCACAACAAUCUUGCUUCCCUGGGCUGCAGCGUGGAGUGGAGUUCGUAGUCUAUCCCAACUUUCCCAAUCAAGAGACUCCACAUCCCAGACGUCGUCGAGAACGAGCAGAAAUUUCUUGUUGCCAAGGUUGUCUUUGAGUUGAUGUUGAAGCAAAUCUAGGCUGUGAUCGGAAGUAGGUCUACAACCGAUUGCCUCAAGAAUUGAUUUGGUUACACCGAUAAGAAGAAACUCCGUGGAAACACAGACCCAUGCUUUCAUGUGGAAGUGUUCCUUCACUCUGUCAUCGUUAUAGAGAAGCUGAGCGAGUGUGGUCUUGCCACUUCCGCCCAUGCCCACUAUGGACAUCACAUCUAUGACGUUGUUGGCUGCUGCAGUUUCCUUGUCAGAAAGCAACCACUUCACCAACUCCUCCCUAAUUUCACCCCUGCCGUACACGAAGGAGUCAUCCACCAAAGAAGAGGAUGGUAAUUUUGGUGACAGUUUCUCACCAUCACCUUCUUUCAGCUCAAGCUCAACUUUUUCUUUUGCAAUGUUUUCAAGUCUGGUCAUCAAGCCCUUGACCCUGGACUCCAUGUUUUGGUUGGCAAAGGGAGCCUUAACCCUGGUAGAGAACUUGUUCCACACCUGAUAAAUUCCGCCAGUUUGGACCUCAGCAGCUUCUAUCUCGCAACGCAAGGCUUCGGUAGCGAUCUCGUCCAACAGGUCCUCCGCAUGAUACACAACAUCCUUAACUUGGACCAACCACUCUUUGACCAGUGGGUCUGAAAAUUGCUUCACCUCCGCAUCAUUGAGCGCUUUGUGGACAACCAGCAAUUUCCUCUUAAAGUCGGUGAGGAGUUCAUGGCUAAGCUUCUGUCCCCGGAUGAAGUUGACGAGCUCCGGAGAAGCCAACCUGUCGAAUAGAACUUGAAGUGAAGCGGAGAGGAGUGCGUCCGCCAUUGCAAAAGGAAUUCAGCGAGAUUGAAUACAGGAAAAAUGAAGCAAAGCGGAAUGCAGAAUCACAGCAGCAAACUGCAAAGUAAGAAGUAAAGACCGGUCUCUUUUGCCAAGGGCUUGAACUUGAAGGAAUCAUUAAUGGUGGUGGACCCAGAUGCAGACUUUUUUGCCAAACACAAUAAUUGAGUGGUGACCGGUGAGUAAAAGAAAGCAAAGGGGAAAUCAAAAGCGCAAAAAAAGGCUGAUGCCAGGCUCUGUUGAGUAAGUUGGGUAGAGCUUUCCAAACAGAAAGCAAAAGCCACAAAGCAUGUGCCAGCUUUUUUAUUUGUUUCCUCUUAAUUAUUUUUCUUUUUAAUAUACUAAUUUCUUUCUCUACUACUGUUGUUAUUAUUAUUAUUAUAAGAGACGAAUAUUUGUUUCAACAUUAAUAUUCCUAAUAUUAUUAAAUUUCAAUAUUUAUGUUAAUACUAUUAUUUUUAAUAAUUAUAAAUAGUAUUGCAAUUCUACAAUUACUAUCAAUAUUUAUUGCUUUUAAUUAUUAUUAAUAUAUAUAUAUAUAUAAUCACAAUUACAAUUCAUUCACAAAAUAAUUAAUCUAGAUGUCAGGAUUUGUCACCAAACCCCACAAUUCAUUGGUCAGUCAAAAAACAUUUUUACAUAAAUUUAGCGGAGUAGGUGGAUGGAUGUUGAUUGAUCCAUUGUCUCAAUUCAAUGGUGGGUUUAAAAGCAUUUUUAUAUCAAGUUGGUGGAGUAGGCGGAUGGAUGUUGAUUGAUCCAUUGUUUCAAUUCAAUGGUGGGUUUAAAAGCAUUUUUAUAUCAAGUCGGUGGAGUAGGUGGAUGGAUGUUGACUGAUCAAUUGUCUCAUAAAUUUCUUUUUUGUUUUAUUGUUAAAAUUUUUUUCCUUGAAAGUUAAAACCAACUUAAAAGGCAUAGUAAAAUAAGUAUUCAACCUAAUAACUUGGAAUUACAAGAAUCAUUUUUAAAAAGUAACCAUUAAAAUUAAGCUUUAAUUAUGAUUAUUAAAAUUGUUGCUUUUCAUGUUUUCAAUAUUGUCUUUUACAUAUUAAAUUUUUGGAUUGUUAUGUGACUUUUCUUUAAUUGGGAUGUCUAAAAAAGAAAAAGAAGUAAGAUAAUUAGUAAUCUUAUUUCCAGUUUGGACUUCUUACUUUUCCAUUGUGAAUUUAAAAAUUAAAUUAAAAAUAUUUUUGAUAAUGUUUCUAUUAUAAGUUAUGUUUAGUUAUCGAAAAAUAUUAAAUAUAUAUAUAUAUAUGAAAAAUGAUUUUCUCAUAUUUAAUUAUAGUAUAAAAAAUAUCAAAUAUAAUUAAAAUUAAUUAAAAUUUUAUAUAUUUUAAAAUUAUUUAAUUUUUAUAUGGAUGAGUUAAAAUAAGUAAAAUAAGUUUGAAAUAGUAAAUAAAAAUAACUUAUUUUAUAUUUUUCUUCAUUUUUUUUCUAUUUUUUCUUUAUAUUUUCUUUCAAUUUUUUUGGAAAAAAAAAAAGGCUGAAGUAUUUACAAUAAAAGUGUUUUUUCUAAAAAUGAUUUUAAGAGAAUCACAUAUCAAAUGUUAAUUUUUCAAAAAAUAUUAUAAGUAAUUUUUUAAUACUAAAAGUGAUUUGUUUAGGUUUUCAAUAAUAGUUUCUUAAUUUUAUCAAAUACUUCAUCUUUUUCAAAAAUAUUUUUUUUAAGGUAGAAGCACUUUUUAAAAUUAUUGUUAAACUAAUUCUAAGAAUAUUGAAACCAUCAAAACAUAUGAUUUAAAAACCAUAAUAAAUAUUAUGUGAAUGAUUCAAGUAGGCAUGGAUUUUCCUUUCUUUUCUUUUAUUUUAUUUUUUUGUAACCCGAAGUGUUGAGUUAAAGUUGAUAUUAACACCAAAGGCCUCAUUUUUUAAAUUUAAUUAACAAAAAAUUCUUUUAUUAUUAUCAAUUUGGUGGAGUGGGUGGGUAGAUUGGUGGAAUCGGAUACUGCCAAAAAAGCAAAAGCAUCCAUAGGAUGAUGCCUACCAUUCCUUCUUUUCCACGUUUAUUUAUUGAAAUUUUUAAUCCUUUCAAUGAACUUGACAACCAUCUUAAAAUAAUUAUUCGGAGCUAUUGAUUUAAAAUGAUAAGGAUCAUUUUUAAUAAUUUUUUUUAAGAAAAAAUAAUUAUUGUACCCGACUCUACUUGAUAAUAAUUUCAAAAAAUAUUUUUAAUUUAAAAAAUUAGAUAUUAAUUAAAAUUUUAAAAAAAUAAUAAAAAUAUAAAAAAUUAUUUAUAAUAUUAAAAAAUCACUUAUUUUGUUUCCUAAAUUCUACUCUCCAACUUGUCAAGGAGUUCAUGGCUGAGAUUUUGUACCGGAUGAAGUUGAUGACCUCCGGAGAAACCAACCAGUCGAAUAGAACUUCAACUUGAAGGGAAGCCGAGAGGAGUGCGUCCGCCAUACCUGUUGACUGCAAAUCUGAAGGUUGGUCUCUAUUGCCAAAAUGCACAAGGCUUGAAGGAAUGAUUGAUGAUGAUGAACUUUGCCAAACACCAUAAUUGAGUGGUUAGUAAAACAAAGCAAAGGGGAAUCUGUAGACCCCCUCUUUUGGGUUUUGUUUUCUUUAUAUUUAUUUUGAGCCUUCCCGCCACUUUUGGAGCACCCAGAGGAGGACAUUUGGACUGGGGGACUGGCUUCUUGAAGCAGGAGCUGCAUGGGACACGUGGUUGUGGAGCUGGCUAGAGCCAUGGUGGUGGUUGGACGGUGAUGCCAUCCUCCGAGGACAAACAGUGAAGUAGAGAAUGGCUUGCGGGAGAAGAUAGGAGCAGGGGAAGGAAAUAAAAAAGGAGGAAGAGAAAAAGAGAAAAAAAAAGGGGGAGGGAGGUGGUCUGAGGAGGAUACGUUUAUGAAAGGUGUUCUGGAGCUUAGAGAGAGGCUGCUACAAAGAAAGGGAAAGUGGCAUGAAGAGGCAAUGAGUUGAAGGGGAGAUAGCACAGGUAUGGUUUCUGUCAGCUGGAUCUCUUUGCUUCCAUAUCGUUUUGUUUAUGAUUUCUGGGGAUUAUUAAGUUUUUGUUUAUUUAUUCUGAUGUUUGAAUAUGAGCAUUGAGGAUUUUAUUAUGUUCUUGUGGAAUCUGAGCUCGUUUGCCUCCAUUCUAUGUUUGGUUUUUAGCUUGGUUUUUAACCUGUUUUUUGGGCUCUGUUCUUGGUAUUUUUGCUUUGGUUCUUCUUUGAGACUUGAUUGAGAUACAUUUUCAACUUACCCUAACACCUAAGCUCACGGGUUCAAGCAUGAGAUGUAGCUUGUGAAUUCGUCCCCACUCGUACACUUUGUGCUCUGUUUUGGCUACUCCCCUAUUUCUGGUACUCAUCUGUGGGGCAUGUAGGUUCAUGUAUUUCAAGAUGUGCCGAAAUGGCACCCCCGCUUGUUAGCACUGAAUGUCACCACGAACCUUACUCCCAUUACUUUCCCUUAGGUCCAUCUCCCAUAUUCCAUCAUACCCACUGCCCAUCUUCUCACUCUCAUUUCCUUUACCCUCACAUACCCACCAUUAUCCUUCUCUCACUACCCGCGGCUGCUCCUCAGUUACCCAUUCCAUAUACAUAUCCUAUCUUCCAUACACCCCAUGCAUAUACCCAUCACCCACACCCCCACUUACCAUACCCUCACGAGCCGUUCAUUCAUGCCCACAACGCCCUUUAAAUUCAUUUCCUUUCUUAGCUUAAAACACCCUACUCAUUCCACCAAUUUAUAUCACGUCACUUGCACCAUGCAUGGCCGUCCAAAGCUCCUCCAAUCCACUCAUCCACGUACAAGAGGCCCAUGCAAACCCUUUCAUCACCAUAUCCAUCUUCAUUCUUCCUCUCUCCAAACCUUCACAUACCCAUCACCACCUUUUCUCUCUCUACACCACAACCAUACCCAUAUCUUGUACCUCCAUGCAUACACUCACUCCACCAACCCGUAGCCUAUUCUUGCCUCAUGCAUGGCUGUCCAAAGCUCCUCCAAUUCAUCUAUCCACGUGCAUGGGACUCAUGCAAACCAUUCCCUCACCUCACCCAUCUUCACUCUUCUCCUAUAGCUAUGCCUUAGAUGCCCACAUGUCAUUUCUCUGCCUUAGAUGCCCACAUGCCAUUUCUCUCACUACCCGUGGCUACAUUUCACCCAUGAUCUCUACACUCUUCACGUCCAUGUGCAUGCCACCACUACCUAUCUCUCUCUACACCACAACCAUAUCCAUAUCUUGUACCUCCAUGCAUACGCUCACACCCACCAAGCCCCUCAAGCUCACGUCUUCUCUCUCUACACCAUCCAACCAUCCAAGCCCGCAUUCCGACUAUAGGUGGUUCCGAAACCCCCUUCAUUUAGUCCACUGUUAUACUUCGUGCAUGAAAGAAAGAAGAGGUUAAGGCCUUAAGGACAACACGAGGUUCAUUUAGAGUAGCUGUUAGUUGGGGAUAUGGGCUUGAGUUGGAGCCCAGACCCAUAUGUGUUGAUAGAAGGCCCCAUGUUUUGUUCACCCAUCUUAAGAUGAAGCCCAGACUCAGACUCAUACGUGUUGAUGGAAGGCCUCAUGUUUUGUUCACCCACCUUAAAUUGGCCCAUGUCCAUUCCAAGCCCAUGCUCACUUCAAGUUGAUUUGUUCACCCACCUUAAGUUAGCUCAUACCCAUUCCAAGCCCAUACCCACCUCAAGUUAGCCCUUUUGUUUUCAAUUUGCAUGAUUUAUAUUCCUAAAAACAUUAAUUUCUCAAUAAGUUUUAAUUCCAAUUUUUGAAAUUUUAAUUCUCACACCAAUUUAUUUAAUCAUUAUUUAUUUAUUUAUUCGUUUAUCUUUAAAAUUCAAUCUUUAAAUAAUCUUUCAAAAUUCCAAUUUCCAAAAUUUUAAUUCUCACGCCAAUUUACUUAAUCAUUAUUAAUUUAUUCAUUUAUAUUUAAAAUUCAAUCUUUAAAUAAUUUUUCAAAAUUCCGAUUUCUAAAUUUAAUUUCGAUUUCCGAUUAUUUAGUCAUUAUUAAUUAAUUAAUUUAUUUAUUUGUUGAUCUUUAAAAUUCAAUCUUUAAGUAACUCUUUUAAAAUUCCGAUUUCUAAAUUUAAUUUCGAUUUCCGAUUAUUUAGUCAUUAUUAAUUAAUUAAUUUAUUUAUUUGUUUAUCUUUAAAAUUCAAUCUUUAAGUAACUCUUUUAAAAUUCCGAUUUCUAAAUUUAAUUUCCAAAUUCCGAAUUCUUAAUUUCCACAUCAAUUUAUCUAAUCAUCAUUAUCUUGUUUAUUUAUUUAUUCGUUUAUCUUUAAAAUUCAAUCUUUAAAUAACUUUCCAAAUUAUGAUUUCUAAAUCUAAUUCCAAUUUCCGAAACUUUGAUUUUUAAAUUAAUUUAUUUGAUCAUCAUUAUUUUAUUCAUUUACUUGUUUAUUUUUUUAAAACUCAAUCUUUAAACAAUUCAUCAAAAUCACGAUUCCAAACUAAAUUUCUUUAGUAUUCACUUAAUCAUUAUUAUUUUCACUAUUAUCAUUAUUUUAUUUAUUUAAUUCAAAAAUCCCCUCUUCGAAUGAUUCCAAUUUUCUGACUUCCGAAUUUAAUUUUCAAUUCCAAAAAUUUCAAUAUUUACAAACCCCAAUUUUUGAACUUAAUUUCCAAAUUCCAAAAUUCUGAUUUCCUUCACAUUUAACCCCCAAAAUUCCAAUCCUUUAGUUUAAUUCCCAAUACUCUAAUUUUCAAAUGAAUUUCAAAAAUCAAAUUUUCCCCUCAAACUGUUUUAUUUCCACUCUGGUUCUCAAAUAAACCUUUUAUUCUUCUUGGUUUCACAUAAGCAAGAAUGAUAAAUUUUCAUAAUUCCAAAUAAUGAGAUUUGUGGGAUUAAUUCGUGCAAGAAAGAUUGGGUUUUGGUGGGGGCCUCACAUACGUGAUUUUAUGAUUGAUUGAUCGAUUUGAUCGCCACACGUGAUUGAUUUAUUCUGUUGUAUGACAUACACACGAUUAUCCUAUGAUUCGUUCAUUAACUCUUGCUUCCAAUGAAACAAAUCAGGUCAUCACUCAGGUAUGUUCUUUGCUUCUUAUAUUCAUUAGGGCAUUUUGUUGUGAUUUUCAUUCGAUAUUCAUUGAUUUACUCAUCAAUCGCCAUAUUUGUUUCAUUCUAUUAGUAGAGACCCGACUUUAGGGACUUAGAGGGGUGCUACGGUCUUUACCGUACUUUCCCGAUAAGUAAUCUGUGGAAGCGCAUAAGGCAAAAUGCGGGGUCCAUAGAACCAAAGGCUAAAAAAAGCUGUGGUGGACCCAUAUGUUGACUUUUUUGUCGGACAGCAUUGCCAAACAAAGCAAAGGGAAAAGCAAAAAUGGAAAAACCAAAAUUUUUUCUCUAUCAAAGUUCCCACAUUUCUAGUCGGAAUAUAUAAUUUUUUUAAUAAAAAAAUUAUUAUAUAGAUAAUUUUCUAACUUCAUGUAAAAAUGUAACAAUAGAUUAACUAAUGACAACCACAUACAAUUUAAUAAUUAAUUAAUUAAUUAAUAUUAGGUUAAUUCAAACUCAAAUUAUUUGGCCUCACGAGAACCUAAAAGAGAAGCUAACAGCAAAGAGGAUGCAUACAACAAAACCAAAAUCAUGUGGUAUUCCCUUCAAAGAUCUUAACUCUAAAAAGCAUUAAAAUUUUGGAGAUCCAGAUAGGAUUCAAGCAAUUUGCAAAGAAAUUUCCCAUAUGAAGUUGGUAAUUAUGAGGAAGAUAAAAUUUCUAAUGGAAGAAGGAUUAGAUUGGAAGUAAUUGUUUGAAGUAGUCAACAUCAUGUUGGUAAUUGUGGGACUGGGAGAAAUUAUUACUAUCUUUUUAUUAAAAAAAAAUGAGUUUGUGUGUAUUGAAACAUAUCCUAAAUUAGAGAUUUGAUUUUUUAUUUUUUAUUUUUCAUUUGUUAUAGUACAGCUCAGCUGAAGGUCUUAAUUUCUUUUUACUCAGUAAUUUUCCAUAUAACUGUGAGAAUCCAAUGGUCAAUGAGCAAACAUAGAAAAGCAAGCACCCAUAGAAAAAGAAAUUCAGGGAAAUCCUAGUGAAUUCAGAUGUCAGGAUUUGUCACCAAACCCCACAAUUCAAUGGUUGGUCAAAAAACAUUUUUACAGUGGAGUAGGUGGAUGGAUGUUGAUCGAUCCAUUGUCUCAAUUCAAUGGUCGGUCUAAAAGCGUUUUUACAUCAAGUUGGUGGAGUAAGUGGAUGGAUGUUGACUAAUCGAUUGUCUCAAAAAUUUCUUUUUGUUUUAUUUGUUGAAAUUUUAUCCCUUAAAGGUUAAAACCAACUUAAAAGACAUAGUAAAAUAAGUAUUCAAGCUAUUUACUUGGAAUUACAAGAAUCAUUUUCAAUAAUUAGCAUUUUUAUUUUUAGAAAGUAGCCACUAAAAUUAAGAUUUAAUUAUAAUUAUGAAAAUUGUUGUUUUUUAUAUUUUCAUAAUGAUAUUGUUUUUUACAUAAUAAAUUUUUGGAUUGUUCCGUGACUUUUCUUUAAUUGGGAUGUCUAAAAAUAAAAAAGAAAUAAGAUUAUUAAUAAUCAUAUUUCCAUCACUGUUUAGAGUUCUUACUUUUUUAUUGUAAAUUUGAAAAUUAAAUUAAAAGUACUUUUGAUAAUGUUUCUAUUUGAACAUUAUGUCUGAUUCUUGAAAAAUGUUAAGAAAAGAAAAAAAUAUAAAGAAAAAUAAUUUUUUCAUGUGUGAUUAUGUUAUGAAAAAAUCCAAAGAAAAUCAAAUAUAAUUAAAAUUAAGUAUUUCUAAAUUAUUUAAUCUUUAUAUAAAUAAGUAAAAUAAAUAAAAUAAGUUUGAAAUAAUAAAUAAAAAUAAUUUAUUAAUUUUUAAUCUAUUUUUUUAUUUUCCUCCAUUUUUUUUUUCUACUUUUCAUUUAUAUUUUCUUUCUCAUACAUUUUCUCUCAAAUUUUUGGAGAAUCAAACAUAGUUGAAGUGUUUACAUUACAAGUGUUUUUUAAAAAAAAAUGAUUUUAGGAGAACCAUAUAUCAAAUGUUAAUUUUUCAAAACAUAUUAGAAAUAAUUUUUUAAUAUUAAAAGUGAUUUUUAGAUUUUUAAUAGUAUUUUUUAAAUUUUAUAAAAUACUUCAUCUUUUUAAGAAAUAUUUUUUAAGAUAAAAAUACUUUUCAAAAUCACUCUUAAACCAAGUAAACCACCAAAACAUAUGAUUUAAAAAUCAUAAUAAAUAUUAUGUGAAGGAUUCAAGUGGGCAUCGAUUUUCCUUUCUUUUCUUUUAUUUUAUUUUUUGUAACCAGGAGUGUUGGGUUAAAGUUGAUAUUAACACCAAAGGCCUCAUUUUUGGAAUUUAAUUAACAAAAAAAUCAUUUUCAAGUUGAUAUUAAUAUAAAUAGUCUUACGGAGUCCAUUAUUGAGUUUUCUGUAAACAUACUUCUUUCAUUGAAUCGAUUUUGGUGGGGGGUGGACCCAAGAUUCUGACAUUAUAACAAACACCAAGUAAGGACGGCUUUUUUUAUUUUAUUUUAUUUAUUUAUUAUUAUUAUUAUUAUUAUUAUCAGUUUGGUGGAGCCAGACAAUGCCAAAAAAGCAAAAGCAUCCUAGGCCGGCAUUGAUAUCGUAUGGCCAAAAGCCAAAGGCCAAAGGCCAAAAGGAUGAUGUCUACCAUUCUUUCUUUUCCACUUUUAUUUAUUGAAAUUUUAAUCCCUCGGAUGAACUUGACAACCAUCUUAAAAUAAUUAUUCGAAGCUAUUGAUUUAAAAUAAUUAGGAUCAUUUUCAAUAAUUAAUAUAUAUAUAUAUAUAUAUAUAUAUAUAUAUAUAUAUAUAUAUAUAUAUAUAUAUUUUGAAAAAAAGUAAUCAUUGACUUAGAGCUAGAAUGAUAGUAAUUUAAAAAAAUAUUUUUAACCUAAAAAGCUUUUUUGAAAGGAAAAAAAAAAGUAUAUGGUAAAAUUUAGGAAACACAUUUUAAAAAUUUGAAAAAUCAUUUAUAAUAUUGAAAAAUCACAUGUAGUGUUUUUUGGAACAAUAUAAGAGGGAUUAUGAUAGAUGAUACGAACAAUUAUAAAAAUGCUACAAAUAAUGUAAAACAAGGUAUGAACAAUAUGAGAAAUGAUAUGAAUAAGAAGCUUUUCCUUAUUAUUAUUGAUGAGGACAAAACAAUGUGUAAAUAGAAAUGGAUAAACAUACUGUAAAUGUGGUGGGUAAGGAGCAUUGAGUAGACCGUAUUGCUUUGAAUAUCAUCACAAAAGUGUUGAGUUUGCAUAAAAUAAAUUUAUGAUAUAAAAUAUAAACAUAAAAUAGUUAAUAACAUUAAUUAUGUAAUAAAAUUAAUAAGAAGUUGGUUUAUCUUUCUAUUCCUUUCUACUUCUUGUCUAGGUUCUAAAGUUAUGAAGUCUUUUUGAUUUGCAUGCUUAUAUUGAAAAUUAACAAGUAGUAUAAAAUAUAAGUAUUUAAUAAGUAUCACUUUUAAAACAUGUAAUGAAUAAAGUAUAUCCAAAAUAAUUAAUUUAUAUAUUUUUGGUCAAAUGAAACAUCAAAUACACAAUCAAUAACCAAUGUUUGAAAUAUCUAUAAACACAAAUAUAUUGGUUCUUAGAUUUUAUGGAUAUAUCGGAGAAAUAUUAAUAGAUAUUUUGACAAAAAUAUGAAUAAGUCGAAAAUUAUUCAAGAUUCAUGGAAAUAUUUGAAAAAAACUCUAAAAAAAUGAUAAAAUAAAUAAAAAGACAUAUAUUAAAGUUAUUUUGUAAAUUUAAUUAACAUAAGUAUGGAGAAAAAUAUUGGUAAGUAAAGAUAUACUGGUUUUAAUAUAUAAUUUAUUAUUUAUCUUAUCAAAUUAAUUUUAAUUUAUAACAUAUUAGAACUUUAUUAUUAUUUUUUUAUAUUUUAAUAUUUUUUAAUAAAUUUAUAUUUUUAAUAUUUAAAAAUAAAAAUAUUCAAAAUUAGAAAGAUAAAUAAAUAAAAUUUAAAAAGAGGUGAUAGUAAUUUUUUUUAAAUAAGAUUAAUGAGAUAAAUGAUGAUAUAUUUAAUAUUAAAACUAUGAUUUAUUUAAUUUAAAUGUAUUCAAUAAUAUAAAAUAAAUAAUGAAUAGUUUUUUAAUAUUUUUUAUUUUUAUAUUUAAUUAUUAUAUAAAAAAAAUUUGUUAAGAAAAUUAUAAUGUUGAAAAUUAUAAAGGAGAAAACCUGAAAGAUUGUCAAACACGUGAAUAAAGAGAGAGUUGUCCUUCUGUCCUAUGUAUUGUUCAGAUGCCAACCAAAAAAUGAAGAAAAAACAGAUAAUUUAAUGAGAAGCUAUUAAAUAAUUUAAGAAGGAAAAAGAAAAUAGAGAAGAGUUAAAAAAACAUGAAUUGUUUAAUGGAUUUCAAAUUCUUUUUAUUUUACUUUUUUCAAUUUUUACACAUCUCUUUGUAAUAUAUUCAAUAUUCUAUAUGAUAUUUAUAAAGAAGAUAAUCAAAUAUCAUUUAAACAUGGGUACUUUUUUUAACAAAUGCAUCACUAAUUAUAUAUUUUUUAAUGAAAAUAUUGACAAUGUUUCGAUAUUUUCACUCUUUUCCAAAAUCAUAAUCAACAAAUUUUCUAAUUUGCUUUUUAAAAUUUGUUGGAAGUGUCUCAACUUUUUAAUUGGAAUAUAUAAGUUUUUUAAUAAAAAAAUAUUAUAUAGAAUAUUUUCUAAAUUCAUAUGCUAUUGUAAUUAGAUUUUUUAUAGGAUACAGAAAGGGAAUAGAUUAACUAGUGAGAUCUGCAUGGGAGCCUUAAAAGAGAAGCUAAGAGCAAAGAGGGGGGUGGGGGGCAUACAACAAAACCAAAACUGUGGUAUUCCCUUCAAGGAUCUCAUGUCCACCAUCAUUACUCUAAAAAGCAUUGAAAUUUUGGAGAUCAGGAAAGGAUUCAAGCAAUUGGUAAAGCAGUUUCCCAUAUGAAGUUGGUAAUUAUGAGCAAGAGAAAUUUUGCAAUGGAAGAAGGAUUGGACUGGAAGUAAGUGUUUGAAGUCGUCAACAUCAUGACAAAGUUGUUAGUAACCGGUAACUGUGGGACUGAGAGAAAUUAUUUUUUGAAACAUUAGAUUAAAUACCAACCUCUUAUUUUGUUAUCAUCAAAAGAUGGCUACAAGAAACCUUGGGCUAACUGGUAUAUGGGUUUAAUUGCAUGGUCCAAACUAAGAUUCAAAUAAGAAUGCAAAAGCUCCGUGUCCACAACACGCUUUCUAACUGCUGAUAUACGAAACCACUGGGUGGUUUUCUAUGUUUUGAAUCUUUCAAAAGUUUGAAAGACUUUUGGUGAAGUUGCCAAAAGUUCUAUAUAGAUAAGAGUUCACAAAUGGCUUUGAAUUUUCUAAACACCUAGAAAAGAGACUUUCUGCAGCAAGUACUUGCCAAUUUUUCAAUACCUGUAAAGGUGAGAAUACGAGGGAAGCCAUGGGCUGGUGAAUCAUGUUACAUCAACUGGAAGAGAAGAAGACCAUCUAGAUGUUUACCUGCCACCUUGAAAUUUAUAACCGUAGUGUAGCAACCUUGUUUGUACUAUUAGAACAAGAAAAUGCAACCAUACUAACAAAGAAAACACCAUUAGAACAAACAUGGAUAUUCAACUGAAUAUAUGGAACUUCCAGAAUUGCAAAGACGAGUAGGUGCGUAUAUACUGUCUUAGGGAUGUGCAGUUUCAGAAGGUUGAACUAAAGGGGAAAGGACAAGGGGGCACAGGAACUUCAACAACUCCUUGAAGCAUCAGUAUGACCAUUCCCAUGGAGGGCCUCAAAGAAGGGUCCUCUUGAAUGCACCAAAUGGCAACCAUCACUACCCUCUCCAGCAUCCCCAUGUCCUUUCCUGCUUCAUCAUCAUUCUUCACUAGCUUAUCCAAUCUGUGGCCUCUAUAGCAAUCAUAAGCCCAAUCAGCAAGUAUUGCUUCCUCCUCAUUUUCCGGCUGUGAAUGUACGCUCUUCCUGCAACUGAUGAUCUCCAGUAACAUAACCCCAUAACUAUAAACAUCCACUUUCGCCGUAAUCGGCUUGCUCCUGAACCAUUCUGGUGCAACGUAUCCUUUGGUCCCUCUGAUGGUUGUAAGGGUCCGAGUAUGAUCUCUUAUCAGAAGCUUUGCUAGUCCGAAGUCUGAAAUCCUAGGUGUAAGGUACUCGUCAAGGAGGAUGUUUUCAGGCUUUAUAUCACAAUGGAUGAUGGGGGUGCUGCACUCUUCGUGUAAAUACAUUAGCCCUUUUGCAAUCUUAAAGGCUAUCUGUAGUCUUUGGCUCCAGUCAGGUGUAGAUAUUCCAAACAACAAGUCUGCUAAAGAUCCAUUGUUCAUGUACUCGUAUACCAGAAGCCGGUGCACACCCUGAUCACAAUAGCCAAGCAAACUGACCAAAUUCCUAUGGUGGGUCUGCCCAAUCACAGUGACUUCUGUUUUGAAUUCCUUCUCGCCUUCCUGUACCACCUUAUCUAAUUUCUUGACUGCCACAAAUCUCCCAGCAUCUGAUGCCAAAACCCCUUUAUAAACUGUUCCAAAAGCUCCCCUGCCCAAUUUCUCCUUGAAUCCACCGGUUGCCUCUUCAAGCUCUUUGUAUGAAUAAGUUCUCACACUGGUGGUCGGGAAUUUGCUUGAAACGGACUGGAUAUUCAUCAGUUUCUUGUUGUAGAAGAAGAGAGCAGCCGCAGGGAUUGCUAACAACAGAAAGAGAUUAAAGAACACAGAGCUGCCAAGGAGUACUGACCCAACAAGGAUCAAGGUAGACUUGUCUGGGCAUCUCUCUAUAGUAUCAUUUUUAAUCCGUACCUUGAUGAGAGCAGUUGUGUAUUGGAGCACAUUUUGUGUAGGUUCGUGUCUUCCAUUUGAGAGAGGAAACUUCUUCUUCCAACACUGAUUCUCAGUGUUAUAGAUAGCAACCACACAGAGGCAAUCAUCUUUGCAAGACUGUUUACACUUCUCCUUGUUGAAUUCAGGUCCCUCCUGAAGUUGAUAAUCAGAUAAUGGCCAGUUGACAUCUUUUAAUUCUCUGAAAUCUACUGCAUCCUUGUCUGCUUCCCAUCCAUCAACAGCUGUUUGGCAGCUGGGCAAUUCAAAAUUCGGUUUACAGCCUUGUUUUCUGUCAAGAGGAUCCAAAUGAGAGUACCCAUCUGGGCAUAGACAAUCAGGCAGCCCCCUUCCAUCAAUGGAACAAUAGCUGUUGAACCCACAAAUUCCACUGCCAAGAUUACUUGGGGUCACGGUACAAAUGUUAUCAGGAAUGUUUUUCACAACAGACCAAGAAGUACUGCUGUUGUCACGAUUAUAUAGCCUGAAAACUCCGUCCUGGUCAAGCGUUGCCCGGUAAUAGUAAUCUCCCGUCAAGCUACUUCCGGAGGUGAUGUUAACAGUACCUCCAUUCCUUAGAAGAACAUAGAUGCCACCUGACUCAUCAAAAAUCAACCGUAGGCCAGAAUUGCUGCUAUUUGCAGCAUCACUGGUGUAAAUUGAAUAAUAAACAUCAUAUGCUUUACCAGAUUCUGGGUCCAAGGUAUUAAGUACGAGAUUGCCACCAGCUUUCAUUUGAAGCUGGAACCUCCCCUUUGAGUAGCUGCUGUUUGACUGCUGAGAAUACAUGGUGCCACCGAUUUCCAGUGUUUGAGUUGGCAAGAUGGUGUUGGCUGGAUUCUGGAAGCUCUGCCACACUGUAAGAUUUUGAUUCCUAUUUUCAAGAACAAAGUUACCAGUAUCAAGCAUGGCAGCAUGAGUGACCGCGGUUACAGAGUUCUGAGGUCUCCAUAUCUCUUUGCCUUGUGGAUCACUUAGUAUGAACUGGCCAUCAGAGGUAAGUUCAAGUUUGGAUCCUUUAGGAGCCGGGUUAUCUCCAUUUGCAUACCAAACUAAGGUUUUUUCCGGUAUGUUUUCGAACCAGAUAGCAAGCAAGAAGAGACUUUGACUGCCAAGGCGGUAAAACCCAAAGGCAAAUUCACCAGAAGGUGAUACACAUCUAGGCGAGUCCUGGGAGGCUGUAAUGUCAAGAUCAGUGCAAUAUUGAGACAACACUAAAGAUGGAAGGACAAGAAGAAGAAAGAACCUGGCAGCCAUUGCAGAAGAGCCUUGGUACUACCCUUCACACCGGAGAAAGUUUGUAGAACAUAUAAAAGUAUUCACAUGGGAUUGUGAGACUGGAAAAAAUAGCAUGCACAAGGUCAAUGCGGUCGGAUUGGGUGAGCGGUGGAAUCAAUUUCGUGAGUGAAACAUCUUCCUAAUUCACUUUAAAGGUCAUUGCUGACACGUUUUCCAAGCUUUGAAUCUUUGAAAAACUAGUUAUGGCCAACCACAUAUGUGUGGCUUAUCUUCUUCCACUUCAUAGGGUAUAGGAUAUGGCUUACCCCCACAUGCAUUAGGUAUUUAGUGUGCAUCUUCCAAUAGUACAUCAUUGGAAAGCGACUAAUUCAUUGUCUAAUAUGCACAUCCAUUUUUAGGGCCUAGGUCCUCAUUUGUGGUUGAAACGAUCUAUUCUCAAUCAGCCAAGACUUUUGCAUGCUUACAAAUUUGAUUUCACUUAUUCAAGGUAUGAAAGGGAUUUUAUCGGUCAAUUCUUACAUUGCAGAAUUGUUGAAAUUGUCUUAUUACAGCCACCAAGAAGCUAAAUUAUGUGUCUAAUCUCAUGGUUAUAGUCCGGGGUUCUACUAACUUGUGAACUGGUAUCUAUUGAUUCUAAUUGUCCGUUACCAUUUUCUAAGACUUUUGAUACAAGUUGGAUGAGCUCAAUUGCACCUCAAUCAGCCUCUGUUAAGAUUCCACAGUUAUAUAGUUGGUUUGAAUUUUUCUAAAAAUGGUUUUAAGAAAAUUACCUAUCAAACGUUUCUCCAAAAAAUAUUAUAAGUAAUUUUUCAAUAUUAAAAGUGAUUUUUCAUAUUUUUAACAAUAUUUCGUAAAUUUUGUCAAAUGUUUUUUUUUUUCAUAAAUACUUUAAAAAUAGAAAUAUUUCUUAAAAUUAUUGUCAAAUAUUAAAACUAUCAAAACAUAUGAUUUGAAAAUCAUAAUAAAUAUUAUGUGAAUAAUUCAAGUGGUCAUCUAUUUUCUUUUUUGUUCUUUUAUUUUUUGUAACCCGGAGUGUUGGGUUAAAGUUGAUAUGAACACCAAAGGCCUCAUUUUUGGAAUUUAAUUAACACAAAAUUCUUUUUCAAGUUGAUAAUUAUAUAAAUAAUCUUAUGGAGUCCAUUAUUGAAUUUUAUUGAGAGUGUGUGGCCAAAAGCCAAAAGGAUGAUGUCUACCGUUCUUUCUUUUCCAUUUUCAUUUAUUGAAAUUUUAUUCCCCCGAUGAACUUGACAACCAUCUUAAAAUAAUUAUUGGAAGCUAUUAACUUUAAAUAAUAAGGAUCAUGUUCAAUAAUUAACAUUUUUUUGAAAAAAAAAGUAAUCAUUGACUUAGAGCUCGAAUGACAGUGACGGUAAAAAACGUUUUUAACCUAAAAAGUUUUUUUGAAAGAAAAAAAAAAAUAGGUAUUAGUAAAAUUUAAUAAACGCUUUUUAAAAAUUUGAAAAAUCAUUGAUAGUAUUAAAAAAUCACUUAUAGUGUUUUUAGAGAAAUGUUUUAUAGAUGAUUUUCUUAAAAACACUUUAUGAGAAAAUACUUUCAGAGAAAAUAUUUUCAUUAAAAAUACUUUAAAUAAAAAUAUUAUCAAAUGUACUCUUAAAUAUUUUAUUAUGAAAUUUAUUAUUCUAAUUAAUUUUAUAUAUAAUGACAUGAACAAAAAAUAUCAUAUCAUGAAAAAUUUGUGUUUUCUUUAGUAGUGAUAUUAUUUUUUGGAGAAUAAUAUUUGAAGGUGUGGAAAAAAGAUUGGUGAAAAAGCGAAAAAUCCUUUUAAUCUUACAUCCUAGUUGUGUUCAAAUAUAAGAGUUGGGAUCACCAAAUUCAUUAAUAUUCAAGAAGAAGUAAGAAUGAAAAUUAAAUAUUCAUCUUCAUUCCUAAUUUUUACAUAGCAAAUAUGGCCUUCUAAUGUUACAUUGAACAGUGAGAUGUUUCUUGCACCAUUAAAAAAAUCAGCCUUGGAAAACAGACGUCAAAUUUCUUGCACCUGACAUUGACAUGGACUCAAACUAUCUAAAACUAACCUAAAUUCAUGGAGAUGAAUGGCCAAUCAAGUGAAGCACUUGCCUGCGUGAUGUCUGGUCAGUCAUCUUGAAAUGAGAAUUAUAUAGUCAGAUAAAUAAUAAAACACAUAACCUAAUAUUCUAUUCAUUGAUUCGCUCAUUCACUAAUCAUUAGAAAGUCGGGAAAUAUAGAAGAGCAAAUUUUCUAAUUCAAGGAGAUGCUGAAGAGGCUCAGAAUCAUAAUUUCUAUACAAAAUCAGGAAGUUCAAUGAGGGAAUUGCACUCAACCCUUUAAGAUAAGAAUAUGGAAAUGGAAAACAAAGCUUCAAAAAGUCUUAGGUUAUGUUUGGUUUCUGAAAAAUAUUAAGGAAAGAAAAAAAAUACAAAUGAAAAUGAAUUUUUCAUAUUUGGUUGUCCUAUGAAAAAUAUAAAAGAAAAUCAAAUAUAAUUAAAACUAAUUAAAAAUAUAUGUAUUUUUAAAUUUUUUAAUCUUUAUAUUGAUGAGUUAAAAUAAAUAAAAUGAGUUUGAAGUAAUAAAAAAAAUAAUUUAUCGAUUUUUAAUCUAUUUUUUAUUUUCCCUCACUUUUUCUUUCCUUCUACUUUUCCUUUGUAUUUUCUUUCCCUUGCAUUUUCCCUCAAAUUUUCUGGGAACCAAACAUAGCCUUAAAGUCUAGAUCAAUUUAAUUACAAUAUUCUUCUUCGGAGUUUCACAGUACAAACCUUCAUUAAGACUUGGGACUCUUUAAUUUUCUUUUCAAAGAAAGAGAUGACUUGGAUAAACAAUGAGAACCAAUGCCCAUGGUCACUUACAGAAGUUUAUGCAUGACGAUGACAAUUCUACUAAUGAGAAGCAAGCACAAGAAGACUGCCACCUCCAAGGUCCAUGCCAAUGACCUCAAUGAUCAUCCGCAGGGCAACAAAAAAAUAAACAGAAAUUCCAAAAUAAGAACAAGACCACGUCAAAAUUGUGACAAAAACAAAUUCAGCAACUACCUGACAAAGAUUUGUCUUUCUACUUGCCUUUUGUUAUAAGGACUCCCGAAAAACUUAGGCUGCUAAACCAAAAGUGUGUUUAAACAAAUAAAAAUUUGACCAAUUCAGUACCAUAAAAUACUUAUAUAAAAUUGUUGGUUUAGGAAUGGCAACUUUCUAAAUGAUCCUAGAUCUAAAUAUACAUUGGCAUAAAAUUGCAGUUGUUUACCUCACAUGUUUUUUUAUUGUCAUAAUAGAACUUUGUUCCUUAGAAGAAGGCUUCUAUGCUUAUCCUGGUUACUUAACAUGGAACAUGUGCAAAUAGAGUUUGUUGCCUGCCCAAAUCUUCCACAACCGGACCAGCCAAUGACUUGUGUGCAUGUACAGUUCUUCAAGAGUGUUGAGCAGAUUAAAAGCCUUUGAAUGCAAAAAGGAGGUCAAGACAUUAACAAUGUAGAAUAUUUAAGUAAUUCUGGUAUCAAACAUAAUAAAAUUGAUUAAACAAAACCUUGAACAAUGAGGUAUUUUCUUCCAAAAAAGAUGAGCUCCACCAUUGUGUGGGCUAUUGAGAAUAUGAAAAAUAAGACAUUAGAAUGAUAAGCAAUUAAAAUUACCUACUAAUGAGCAGCAAACUAGAAUGUUGAAUUUUGACUUAGUAUUUGCUGGAAUUUGAAUUUUGAAUAUUGCAGCUGGAGUCUUGCACAAAAUCUGCAACAUCUAGAUAUUUUCUUAUUUUUAUUUGGUCAAGAUUUGGUUUCUAUUUUAUAGGAAGUAGUUAUUCAUCAUCUAGUAGCUUGAUUUUCUGCUAUUCUAAUGUCAUUUAAGUUACAAGUUCAUGUAUAAAUUCAGCACUCUUCAUCAAUAAAAUCAGAGUUCCAGCAGCCCAAAAAUAUAUUUUUUGUAUAAGUAUUUAAUCUUAUACCAACAAAGUGGUAUCAGAGCCAUAGUUAUCUUGAGGGGCCAGUGAGGUGAGAACCCAAACACCUUCUAAAAUCAUAUAGCAAUGGAAGAGUCAAGUCUCACAGUUGCACCAUCAAUUCUUGAUGGAGACAAUUAUGAAACUUGGGCUGUUAGAAUGACAGUUCAUCUACAAGCACUUGAUGUUUGGGAAGCAGUUGAAGAAAAUUAUGAAGUUCCUCCCCUGGGAGCCAAUCCAACUGUGGCUCAAAUGAAGUUGCAUAAAGAAAGAAGGACAAGAAAGGCUAAAGCGAAAGCUUGCUUGUUUGCUGCAGUUUCACCAUCAAUUUUCAUCAAAAUCAUGAAAAUUGAUUCAGCUGUAGAAAUUUGGGAGUAUCUCAAGGAGGAAUACAAAGGAAAUGAAAGAAUCAAGAACAUGCAGGUGAUGAACUUGAUUCGAGAAUUUGAAAUGAAGAAAAUGAGGGAGUCUGAUGCUGUUAAAGACUAUGCUGCACAACUUCUUUCAAUAGCAGACAAAGUUAGGCUGCUUGGAAAAGAAUUUUCCAAUGAGAAGAUUGUUCAAAAGAUAUUGGUUACACUUCCUGAGAAAUAUGAAGCUACAAUUUCCUCUUUGGAGAAUUCAAAAGAUCUGUCAACUAUUAGCUUGACAGAAUUAUUACAUUCCUUGGAGGCUGUGGAACAAAGAAGACUCAUGAGACAAGGAGAUACUACAGAAGGAGCAUUUCAAGCAAGAAUGCAGAAAAAUGCAGGCCAUAAAAAUGGAAAGAUGAACAACAACAAGCCAUGCAGCAACAACCAGAAAAAUGGAGUUUUUCCACCUUGUCCUCAUUGCAAGAAGACAAAUCAUUCUCCACAAAAAUGUUGGUGGAGACCAGAUGUGAAAUGCAACAAGUGUGGUAAACAAGGACAUGUGGAGAGGAUUUGCAAAAAUCAACAACAGGAAGAAACUAGUGCAGCAGUUGACUAUUGCCAGGAGGAGCAAUUGUUUGCAGCAACGUGUUUUGCUAAUAAAAGCACCUCUGAAAGCUGGCUUGUGGAUAGUGGUUGUACAAAUCACAUGACAAAUAAUCAAGAUCUCUUUAGAGAACUUGAUAGAACAACUAUUUCCAAAGUCAGAAUUGGAAAUGGUGAGUAUAUUCCAGUGAAGGGCAAAGGAACGGUUGCUAUCGAAAGCCAAACAGGUUUGAAACUCAUUUAUGAUGUUUUGUUUGUGCCUGACAUUGACCAAAACUUACUCAGUGUUGGACAGCUCGUUGAGAAAGAAUUUAAAGUUUAUUUUGAAGAUAGGAAUUGCAUUAUCAAGGAUGCUGAAGGCAAAGAGGUGUUCAACAUAAAAAUGAAGGGCAAAAGUUUUGCCUUGAAUUUACUGGAAGAUGAGCAUACUGCUAUUUUACAACAAGAUAGCACAACAAUGUUUUGGGACAGAAGGGUCGAGCACUUUCAUCAUGAUGAUGUGCUCUACAUGAAGAAAAAUCAAAUAGUUGAAGGACUUCCUGACUUAGAAAAAGAUCUUCCUAUAUGUGCUACUUGUCAAUAUGGGAAGCAAACUAAACUUCCCUUUCCAAAGAAAAUAUCCUGGAGAGCAACCCAAAAACUGCAACUGGUGCAUACUGAUGUUGGUGGAUCUCAAAAAAUGCCAUCCUUGAAAUGGAAUGCAAACAAUGUUUGGUGGAUCUCAAAAAAUGUCAUCCUUGAAAUGGAAUGCAAACAAUUUUGGGCUAAAACUGCAAGUAGAGCAGUAUAUUUUCUGAACAUAUUGCCAACAAAAGUGUUAAAGAAGCAGACCCCUUUCGAAGUUUGGUUUGAGUGUCUACGUGCAAGACUUGGAGUUUGCAUCUACGAAGUCAAGGAGGAGUGUUGAAUUUUGACUUAGUAUUUGCUGGAAUUUGAAUUUUGAAUAUUGCAGCUGGAGUCUUGCACAAAAUCUGCAACAUCUAGAUAUUUUCUUAUUUUUAUUUGGUCAAGAUUUGGUUUCUAUUUUAUAGGAAGUAGUUAUUCAUCAUCUAGUAGCUUGAUUUUCUGCUAUUCUAAUGUCAUUUAAGUUACAAGUUCAUGUAUAAAUUCAGCACUCUUCAUCAAUAAAAUCAGAGUUCCAGCAGCCCAAAAAUAUAUUUUUUGUAUAAGUAUUUAAUCUUAUACCAACAUAGAAUACAUCCAUGGUUUCCUCCAUGCCUGUAUAAGAGAAAUGACAAAGAAAGUGAGGAAGAACCAAAGCAUCCAUGUUUUUCCAGUCAUUAAGCGGUUCACUUGGGUUAUGCAUAUGGCCAAAUAAAAAACAGGGCAUGAAUAUGUGAGUGCCGUUAGAAUAUGAGAAUUGUCUGUGUCAAAAUGCGAGCACCUAGGUUGAAUCCUCAUCUACAGCUAUUCAAAAUUCGUCUCAGGCUUGAAGCUUCAAGAAGAAGAAAAUCUUAAAUCAAAUAAAUGGAGCCAAGGAAUUAUGUAGAUAUAUUCUUGAGAUUAGAAAUUGGAACAUAACUUUUCUAAAGAACUAAGUUUAAGCACAGAACAAUUACCUGCCGAUAUGUUGGUGCAGUGCCACUUUCAUUAAAAUAGCACAUCAUUGAUCUCUAUUUUUGGAAUGUGAGAUAUAUAACGCCAUUCUUGCCCUUUCUCAAAUUGGUGCCGUUGUUCUAGUGAAGGACAUUUGUAGACAUACAGAUAAGAGAGAGGGAGUCUGGCAGUGUCAACUACUGGAGCUUAGGGCAGUUGGCGAUAUACAAGGUUUCAAGAGUGGUAAGGUGGUGAAGACCUGCUUCUGUUAAGGAUUGGAGCCUUGGGCACAAGUAUAAUAUUUUGAGAGAAAUAUGGUGUUGACGAACGGACCCCUAUGGAGAACUGGAGCUCAGUGCAAUUCCUGAUCUCUAAUUGUAGAAGAGAGGUGAGUCGUUGAAGCCCCCUGCUGUAAAGAGACUUGAGAUUUGGAAGAUCUGAGAUUGAAAUAUAAGUCAGAGAAGAGGGCAGCAGGCACUCCUUGGGAAAUAAUUCCACGUCUUCACAUCCACCUUUGAUUGUUAAUUUAGUAAGAGAGGUCAAUCUUUGCAAAUCCCAAUCCACCUGGGAUGUGAGUUGGUUGCAGCGACAAACUUCUAGUUCACGUAGGUUGGAAGGCAAACCUUCUCUGUGAAACAAAAAUUCUGAGCAAUCCCUUAAAAUCAGUUUCCGCAGAGAUGAGUGUGUGUGGACCAGCAAUCUGAGCUUGGAGCAACUGGAAAUCUCGUGGUCCAUUGAGUCCAGAGCAGGCAGUUGGAUAUAUACAAGAUUAUGGCACCCUCUGAUUUCCAAAUUAAGAAGAGAUAUGGGAUCGCCCUCUGAAAUCGAAAUGCAGAGCUUCUCAAGUCCCUAAGACCAUGGAUUGCGAAAUUAGUCAACCUGGGGGAGAUGUCCAAUAUUGAGAAGGAUAAUGGGGGAGAAUUAUUGUAGGUACCACCAUUGAUUGAUAGAUUUUCAAGUACAGGGUGAUGGCAUCUGAACAACUCUGGUAGAAUAAGGUCCACUUUGGUACAGUAAGAGAUUGAUAGUGAUUGCAACAUAGUGGGUAAACCAACUUUGCUCGGGGAUCUGAAAAAGAGCAGUCACAAAUUUUUAAACUGUGGAUGUUGGUUUGCAGGAUUUCCUCCUCUAGCAGAGACUCCAUAGAAUCACACUUUGUGGAUGUUGCUUCCAUUGAGAGACGUCUGAAAUUUCAAUUUCUGAAGUUUGAAGAGCUGUGAACCCACAAGUUUGCCUUUUCAACUGCAAUCUACGGGCAGCAGGAACAUUGAGUGUAGGCACAAGCAGUUGCGGACAUAUUUCAAGGUUAAGUUCCUGCAAUGAAGGAAGGUGUAUUGGUAAUUCCCCAAUGAGUAUAGGACAUUGCCUUAUAGAAAGCUCCUGGAGACGAGGGAAUUCUCCACGUAUGCCUCCACGACAUAACCAUUUCUCCCAAUUGGACAUUACAAAAUGAUAUAGUUUACAGGGAUGGGAAGGAGGGCUGAAGUGAAAAAGAGGAGUUCCCAUAAAACUCACCACCCACCCUGACUACUCCUUUCAUGUCUGAGAUCUCUAGAAGUUUAAGACAAG
rnacentral:lncRNA from 1 species